rnacentral:rRNA from 1 species
UACGUAGGGGGCUAGCGUUGUCCGGAAUCAUUGGGCGUAAAGAGCGUGUAGGCGGCUCGAUAAGUCCGCUGUGAAAGUCCAGGGCUCAACCCUGGGAUGCCGGUGGAUACUGUCGGGCUCGAGUCCGGAAGAGGCGAGUGGAAUUCCUGGUGUAGCGGUGAAAUGCGCAGAUAUCAGGAGGAACACCAAUGGCGAAGGCAGCUCGCUGGGACGGUACUGACGCUGAGACGCGAAAGCGUGGGGAGCAAACAGG